rnacentral:rRNA from 1 species
UAAGUGACUAAGACGUACUUGUACUAGAUUGAGAUUUUAACACGAAGUGAGUGGCGAACGGGUGAGUAACACGUGGGUAACCUGCCCAGAAGUAGGGGAUAACACCUGGAAACAGAUGCUAAUACCGUAUAACAGAGAAAACCGCAUGGUUUUCUUUUAAAAGAUGGCUCUGCUAUCACUUCUGGAUGGACCCGCGGCGUAUUAGCUAGUUGGUGAGGUAAAGGCUCACCAAGGCAGUGAUACGUAGCCGACCUGAGAGGGUAAUCGGCCACAUUGGGACUGAGACACGGCCCAGACUCCUACGGGAGGCAGCAGUAAGGAAUCUUCCACAAUGGACGCAAGUCUGAUGGAGCAACGCCCCGUGAGUGAAGAAGGGUUUCGGCUCGUAAAGCUCUGUUGUUAAAGAAGAACGUGGGUAAGAGUAACUGUUUACCCAGUGACGGUAUUUAACCAGAAAGCCACGGCUAACUACGUGCCAGCAGCCGCGGUAAUACGUAGGUGGCAAGCGUUAUCCGGAUUUAUUGGGCGUAAAGCGAGCGCAGGCGGUCUUUUAAGUCUAAUGUGAAAGCCUUCGGCUCAACCGAAGAAGUGCAUUGGAAACUGGGAGACUUGAGUGCACAACAGGACAGUGCAACUCCCUGUGUAGCGGUGUAA